rnacentral:rRNA from 1 species
AACCAACGCUGGCGGCGUGCCUAAUACAUGCAAGUCGAACGGGGAAAGUAGCAAUAUGAGUACUAGUGGCGCACGGGUGAGUAACGCGUGGAUAAUCUGCCUUGAAGAGGGGGAUAACUAGUCGAAAGAUUAGCUAAUACCGCAUAAGACCACAAGAACUGAGGUUCAAGGGGUCAAAGGUUUUUCGCUUCAAGAUGAGUCCGCGUAAGAUUAGCUAGUUGGUGAGGUAAUGGCUCACCAAGGCAACGAUCUUUAACUGGUCUGAGAGGAUGAUCAGUCACACUGGAACUGAGACACGGUCCAGACUCCUACGGGAGGCAGCAGUAGGGAAUAUUGCACAAUGGAGGAAACUCUGAUGCAGCGGCGCCGCGUGAGUGAUGAAGGCCUUCGGGUCGUAAAGCUCUGUCGCAGGGGAAUAACACAAUGAAUGUACCCUGUAAGAAAGGAUCGGCUAACUUCGUG